rnacentral:misc_RNA from 1 species
UUAAGUGCAUUGAUUGGACAAGUUGGUUGCGUAGUAGGUGGAGGAUUAGCACCACCACCACCACCUCCACCUCCGCCUCCACCACCGCCACCACCCCCAUAAGGAGGGCCACCGGUGUAUGGUGGGUAGNGUUAGCCUGAAAGGUGGUGGUGUUACUGGUGGCGUUAUAAUUACAGGAGGAUUUGUUGCGGGAGGUGAUAUUACGGGGGGAGGAUUAAUGAUUAUUGGUGGUAG